UACAGAGGGGGCAAGCGUUGUUCGGAAUUACUGGGCGUAAAGGGCGCGUAGGCGGCCUUCUAAGUCGAACGUGAAAUCCCCGGGCUCAACCCGGGAACUGCGUCCGAUACUGGAAGGCUUGAAUCCGGGAGAGGCAAGGGGAAUUCCACGUGUAGCGGUGAAAUGCGUAGAUAUCGAGAGGAACACUUGCGGCGAAGGCGGGUUGCUGGGCUGACACGUGGCGCUGAAGCGCGAAAGCUAGGGGAGCGAACGGG
rnacentral:rRNA from 1 species